GCCUGGUUGGCUCAGUUGUUAGAGCAUAUGACUCUUGAUCUUGGGGUUAUGAGUUCAAAUCCCACAUUGGGUG
rnacentral:tRNA from 1 species